rnacentral:rRNA from 1 species
AGGACACGCUGGCGGCAUGCCUAACACAUGCAAGUCGAACGGAGCCAAUCGAAAGAUCCCGUUCGGGGGUGAAAUUUGAGGAAGCUUAGUGGCGAACGGGUGAGUAACGCGUGAGGAACCUGCCUUUCAGGUGGGGGACAACAGUUGGAAACGACUGCUAAUACCGCAUAAUGCAAUCGAGCGGCAUCGCUUGAUUGACCAAAGUAUUUAUUGCUAGAAAGAUGGCCUCGCGUCUGAUUAGCUAGUUGGUGAGGUAACGGCUCACCAAGGCGACGAUCAGUAGCCGGUCUGAGAGGAUGAACGGCCACAUUGGGACUGAGAUACCGGCCCAGACUCCUACGGGAGGCAGCAGGUGGGGAAUAGUUGGGCAAUGGGGGAAACCCUGACCCAGCAACGCCGCGUGAAGGAAGAAGGCCUUCGGGUUGUAAACUUCUUUUACCAGGGACGAAGAACGUGACGGUACCUGGAGAAAAAGCAACGGCUAACUACGUG